rnacentral:rRNA from 1 species
AGUGAACGCUGGCGGUAGGCCUAACACAUGCAAGUCGAACGGCAGCACAGUAAGAGCUUGCUCUUACGGGUGGCGAGUGGCGGACGGGUGAGGAAUACAUCGGAAUCUACUUUUUCGUGGGGGAUAACGUAGGGAAACUUACGCUAAUACCGCAUACGACCUACGGGUGAAAGCAGGGGAUCUUCGGACCUUGCGCGAUUGAAUGAGCCGAUGUCGGAUUAGCUAGUUGGCGGGGUAAAGGCCCACCAAGGCGACGAUCCGUAGCUGGUCUGAGAGGAUGAACAGCCCACACGGAACUGGGCACCGGGCCCAACCCCAAGGGGGGGCAGGAGUGGGGAAUUUUGGAAAAGGGGGCGAACCCUUUCCCAGCCAUACCGAGGGGGUAAAGAAGGCCUUCGGGUUUGAAAUCCCUUUUUUUUGGAAAAAAAAGGGGCAGGUUAAAUCCCCCGUUUUCCGGCGGUUCCCAAAAAAUAAGCCCCGGCUAACUUUC